rnacentral:rRNA from 2 species
GAUUAAGUUAUUAAGGGCGCACGGUGGAUGCCUUGGCACUAGAAGCCGAUGAAGGACGUUACUAACGACGAUAUGCUUUGGGGAGCUGUAAGUAAGCUUUGAUCCAGAGAU